rnacentral:rRNA from 1 species
UACAGAGGGUGCGAGCGUUGUCCGGAAUUAUUGGGCGUAAAGAGCUCGUAGGCGGUUUGUCGCGUCUGCUGUGAAAACGCGAGGCUCAACCUCGCGCCUGCAGUGGGUACGGGCAGACUAGAGUGUGGUAGGGGAGAUUGGAAUUCCUGGUGUAGCGGUGGAAUGCGCAGAUAUCAGGAGGAACACCGAUGGCGAAGGCAGAUCUCUGGGCCAUUACUGACGCUGAGGAGCGAAAGCUAGGGGAGCGAAUGGG